rnacentral:misc_RNA from 1 species
AUUAUUAUUAUUAUUAUUGAAAUAAAUUCACAAAGAAUGGACUGUUUGGAAGAAGAGAAUUACUAUUAGCUCCGCCACUUUACGUCACCAGGUCAAUACUACAGCUGUUAUCCAACGCAUCUCGGCGCAAACUAGAAACUACCAACGCAUCUUUUUCUUACUUCCUUCCUUUCUUUUUAUUUCCCCUCACGCGACCGCGAUAACCGCCACGUCUUUAUUACGGGACGCGUCCAUCGCCAACGGCUUACCGGAGCCGGAAACGGAGGCGUACCGAGAAGAGAAAUCGCGAAACCCUCCGUAAUCGUCUUCCACAUCGACAUUACUAUUCUGUCCGGGGCCCUCAUCGAAGUUCAAAGCGUAACUAAAAGGAUCGUACUGGAACUUGCCGUGCCUGUUGUUGCCACUACCUCUGUUUCUAUUGAAUCUCCGGAUGAAAGUCUUCCACCUGGGUCCAGCGACGAUCUCCGACCAUUCUCGGAUCUUCUUGAUAGCCCUAACACCCGGGGCCCACCAGGGAUUAUCGUCGCUAUGACCUCUUGAUGAUCGAAUUCGCUCCCACCAGGCCAACCCGACGAAGGAAGAACGUCGGGAACUGAAGCAAGGGAAACAGAAGCAGCAGCGAGUGUCCGCGAGGAGAGGAUUGGAUGAUCGCUCAGGGAUUGAGUCAGGGUCUCUACGAGCCAUUUCUGGGUCUUCUGCACCCAUAAAACCAACAGAAGAAGAAUUACACAACCCCAAUUAGCGAGAGAGACUUUAUAUCUGGUGGAGAAGGUGGUAUGCAACGGAAAGUUACGGGAAACGGGGAAGUGCCGGUUACGGAGUGGAAGAGGAUGUUUUUAAGUAGUAAAAGGCCGUCAGCGCUUAGUCAAGAUUUUAUUACAGAAAGAGACCAAGAGAGUUAGCGGUGAUCGGGUGCUUCGCAAAGUAUAGUAGGUGGAAUUCUGAUUAGCCCCAUGACCAGAAAAGAUGGUGGGGUCUAGUUAUUGGAUUGCUUGGAAGUUGGUUGGAAGAAAGCAAGGAAAUUUGCGAGGAAGAGUGAACUUGAUCCCAUCGCUGUGGAUCUGAGUAAAGGAUCUGCCAGCCUAAUCAGAUUUAUAUUAUUAAUUAAGAAGAUAGAUUAAUUAAUUGAAUAUUAUGAUCUUGAUCACUAAUUGUG